AUUGAACGCUGGCGGCAUGCUUUACACAUGCAAGUCGAACGGCAGCACAGGGAGCUUGCUCCCGGGUGGCGAGUGGCGCACGGGUGAGUAAUACAUCGGAACGUGUCCUGUUGUGGGGGAUAACUGCUCGAAAGGGUGGCUAAUACCGCAUGAGACCUGAGGGUGAAAGCGGGGGAUCGCAAGACCUCGCGCAAUUGGAGCGGCCGAUGCCCGAUUAGCUAGUUGGUGAGGUAAAGGCUCACCAAGGCGACGAUCGGUAGCUGGUCUGAGAGGACGACCAGCCACACUGGGACUGAGACACGGCCCAGACUCCUACGGGAGGCAGCAGUGGGGAAUUUUGGGACAAAUGGGGGGCAACCCUGAUCCAGCCAUGCCGCGUGCAGGAUGAAGGCCUUCGGUUGUAACUGCUUUGUCAGGGACGAAAAGGACCGUGUUAAUACCAUGGUCUGCUGACGGUACCUGAAGAAUAAGCA
rnacentral:rRNA from 1 species